rnacentral:lncRNA from 1 species
GUUUUUCCAAUCCAGGAAGGCGAUGCAGCUCUGCCUUCAACUCUUCCAUUUCCUUUUCUAUUGUGUCCAUCCUGCUGUCUAUCUUUUUCUGUGCCAUCAUGAAGAACCGCUCUAAUACCAAUUUGUUAAUAUACCAACUGGAAAGAACUAGUUCGAGUUAUGAAUAAACAACUCUUUGAUUGAAAGAAGAACAAUUACAGAAAAUAGAAUGAUAACAAAGCCUGUAGAAGGCUGUAAAUGAGACAUUACUCCACUAUUCUCUCGAAUAUUGCCAACCUCUUCAAUUCUUUCUCCUCCUAUUUAUGGACUUCCCCCAACAGAUUUAUUCCCCUUCUCCCCACUUGCCCUUGUAACCAAUUUAAGUUACUCCCUCCUUCCAGCUGCUUGUCCAUCCUUCUUGACUUUUCUAGAAUAGAUGGGAGGUCUAUCAGUGUGCUGGAAGCUAUCACAGACAGUUGUAACAACAUUAUUGGUACUUUUCCUUUGUAAUAUGUUACAUUCUAAUCUUCAUAUUCGGUGAAUGGAACGUGUUGCAACAAAAAUCAAGAACUAAUUGCAUGCUGGCGCAGUUGAAACGAUUUGAAACAUGGCACAAACAAGGAAUAACAAUGUAGUAUAAAUUAAUAAAAUUGAAUGUAGAUCAUUUAUUCAGCACCAAAAACAUUCAGAAUUCCAUCUUAAAGCAUCUAACCUGAAACCUUGGCACACUAUUAGAUAGAAUUGGACAAUACAACGAGCUAUAAUUUAUCUUACUUUGCUCUUUUAAUACAAUAUUGCGUGCUAUCUACUGUUAAUGUAUGAAGUGAGUCCAAAUCCGUAUAAGUUAUCUUUGAAAAAAAAUUAUUCACUGAUGACACCUCUUUAUAUUUCUGCAAUGCAUUUUAUCAUAGUGACUAACUGACUAGGCAAUCAAGUAUUCAUGAUGUUGAGUAAGGUAGAAAGGAGAAAAAGUUAUGAUUUUUCAGGUUGUGACUACUUUGAUGGCAAUAAACUCAACUGCCGAACCAAAAUAGAACUCUUGUGCACAUACGUGGACCCGUUUUAUAUAAUUUUAGAACAAUUACAGGUCCUACAAUAUCCUUUGGCAUAUUAACAGUUCUUGUUUGUUGAUGUUCGAAUUAAACCUCUGCCAUACUGCAAAUCUUUCAGUGAAGUAGCAUAUCAAAAAUUCAUUACCAUAAACAAGUUUCUGAGUUUCCAUUUGUGAUUGUACAGGUAGUCAUUUUCAUUUUCUGACAUGAAGUUUCUUUAUUUUUCCAGGCCGUUGCAUCUUUCAGAUUAAUCGUAUGACUAGUACAAGGCUUCCGAUUUUCAUGUUUUUCAGGAGGCCAAUGUUACAGUGAAAACUGUAGAUCCAAAAUUACAGUAUGACAUUUCCUUUUGAGGUAAGUCAUCCUUGCAAAUUAAGAGUAUGUUUUAGAAGUGUUUAUGAACAGUUUAUGCCCCAUUUGACAGCCUUUUUUUUUUUUUUUUUUUGGAAAGAAUGAGUUUUUGAAUAAUAAUUUUUUUGGAGAAUGUGUGGUUGAAAAGUAAGAAUUUUGGGUUUCCAUGAAGAAUAUUUUAUUAUGAAAAUGUGAUUGAAAAUGAGCAUGAGAAAAAAAGAGUUUUGAAAGAAUGAUUAUCAAAAAUGAGCUUAUAAAUGGAGUGAGUGUGAUAUGUUGAUAGUACUUGUGGAUUCCUCGAAAUGUGAAAAAAAAUGACUUGAAAGUUUAGAAACAGUUUAUACACGAGCCAAACAUAAGGUAAAAGGAAUAAACAUUCUUGAGGAUGUGAUUUUGAGUAAAUAAUGGUAUUGUUAUGUCAAGCAUGAAUAUCAUGGCCACCAUACUUAAAGGAUGAAAAGUUGACUUCUCGGAAUGCAUAUAACAUGUUCGUCAUAAUGUCUAAAAAAAGUAAUUUUUUGUACAAACGAUCCAAAACAAAGAAGUAACUUUAAAAUAACCUUAAAACAUGUUCGGCAAUGAAAAUAACUUUAAGCUUAGCUAAACAUGUUCUAGAUACAUUAUAUAUGACCCUUUGUUUUAAGUACGCAAUUUCUUUUAUUUUGCUAUACGGUCUUGACUUGAUCAUUACAUGAUUUGAUCUAUCAACUUUAUUUUAUUUAUCUUUUUCCCUUGUAGGUGCAUGAUUUGAACAGCAAAGGCUGCUGCUAAACUUCCAAUGUGGAGCAUUAUGUAGUUUGUAAUUGACUCGAUUGGUUGGUUUGUAAAUUAUGUGAAAUGAACAAUUACCGUCUUCUUUAUGUCAUAUCUUCUAGCUUGUGACUUGAUUAUACUGAUGUAUUCUUAAAAUUGAAUUGUCAUUUGUGAAUUUAGAACAAAUCGAGAAAUUAAAGAAAUCGAAAUAUUUGGUUUGGUUUGGUUUGGUUGUAACCAAGCCAAGUACCCAUCUCUACAAAUAAGGUCCAAAUAUUGUAACAAAAUAAAUUGUCGAACGUCU